GAUGAACGCUGGCGGCGUGCCUAAUACAUGCAAGUCGAGCGAAUGGAUUAAGAGCUUGCUCUUAUGAAGUUAGCGGCGGACGGGUGAGUAACACGUGGGUAACCUGCCCAUAAGACUGGGAUAACUCCGGGAAACCGGGGCUAAUACCGGAUAACAUUUUGAACCGCAUGGUUCGAAAUUGAAAGGCGGCUUCGGCUGUCACUUAUGGAUGGACCCGCGUCGCAUUAGCUAGUUGGGGAGGUAACGGCUCACCAAGGCAACGAUGCGUAGCCGACCUGAGAGGGUGAUCGGCCACACUGGGACUGGGACACGGCCCAGACUCCUACGGGAGGAAGCAGUAGGGAAUCUUCCGCAAUGGACGAAAGUCUGACGGAGCAACGCCGCGUGAGUGAUGAAGGCUUUCGGGUCGUAAAACUCUGUUGUUAGGGAAGAACAAGUGCUAGUUGAAUAAGCUGGGACCUUGACGGUACCUAACCAGAAAGCCACGGCUAACUACGUGCCAGCCGCCGCCGUAA
rnacentral:rRNA from 1 species